rnacentral:lncRNA from 1 species
CCAUGAAUUAAAAAAAAAAACAAAAAAAUACAAAAAAAUAGGAUCUCCAAACUUACAAAAUCUAUAACAAACACGAUUUUACAUAAACGCCAGUACCUUCGGAUCGCGAUUGGCGUUCCACGUUUGCGUUUUACUUCGUAGCCCUCGUAGGUGGUGGGUGAAGGGAGGGUAAGUGAUAAUAAUAGCAACGCGUAAAAAGUUAGUUGUGGAGAGGAUUGGGACCCGUGUGAACUACUCUCUUGUCGUCUCCAUAAAUGUCAUCUACUCUUCUCAAUGGCCCACGAAACGUCGCCGUAGUAGUAGUAGUAGUACUGUAGCUCAGAGCCUUUCUCGACGGUGGCGACGGAGACACGACGAAGUGACGACGAGAAUAACCAACAAAAGAAGAAGAAGAAGAGGCUGACGAAGACAAACCUAUCUGAAAACUGACAAAGAAGAGAAAGAAGAAAAAGAAGGAACACAUGUUCAAGAAGUUCUUGUCCCAUCUUGUUCUGUUAUUUCCAUGUCUCUCUCUUGGUACAAACACGUGAGUCGUCAUCUCACAAAAGCCUUGUUCCGGAGUAACAAGAAACUGACGAACAUGAAGACAAAGGGACAGUGAAAAGAAGUCAAAGCGAAAAAAAACAAGAGAGAAGAAGGAGAAGUAGAAGAAGAAGAAGAGAGAAGUGAGUUUUAUUUGGAAUGCAAAAUUUGUUGUCUUGUGGGUAAUAAUAAGAUUUUUCCUUGUCUUUUUUUUUGACUUGUUAAAAGUUAUUUUGUUGCUUUUUUGCUCCUUAUGGGUCUUCGGAUCCUUCUAAGAUCUGGCACUGUUCUUUCCUCUAAAAGGCAAAAGCUUUACAAGAAUUCUUUUUUUUUUUUUUUUGCAGUCUCUCUCUCUCUCUAUCUCUUUGUCUCGGAAGUCGUAAGCAAAGAGAGUGUGUGUGUGUGGUCUGUAGAGAAAACAAAGUACGACAGGCGGUAUUAAUAACGGCUGUCACCUCUUUGUGUUUAUUCGAGGGAAGCGUCUUUGAAAGCACUCUCUUCUCUUUUCCAUUACUAUCUUCACUUUAUUUGUAUUUUUGUGUUGUUUUAAUGAAUACGU